rnacentral:lncRNA from 1 species
GGCAAGGGAGGCAAGGGCCUGGGCAAGGGCGGCGCCAAGCGCCACCGGAAGGUGCUGCGCGACAACAUCCAGGGCAUCACGAAGCCGGCGAUCCGGAGGCUGGCGAGGAGGGGCGGCGUGAAGCGCAUCUCCGGGCUGAUCUACGAGGAGACCCGCGGCGUGCUCAAGAUCUUCCUCGAGAACGUCAUCCGCGACGCCGUCACCUACACGGAGCACGCCCGCCGCAAGACCGUCACCGCCAUGGACGUCGUCUACGCGCUCAAGCGCCAGGGCCGCACCCUCUACGGAUUCGGCGGCUGAGCGUGGCUCCGUCCUCGUCCCUCCGCCCACGUGGGGAUAGCUAGGGUUCCUGAUGGAUUAGCUGAGUUUGUGACUUUUGUGUUGU